UACAGAGGAUGCAAGCGUUAUCCGGAAUGAUUGGGCGUAAAGCGUCUGUAGGUGGCUUUUUAAGUCCGCCGUCAAAUCCCAGGGCUCAACUCUGGACAGGCGGUGGAAACUACCAAGCUGGAGCACUGUAGAGGCAGGCGGAAUUCCGGGUGUAGCGGUGGAAUGCGUAGAGAUCCGGAAGAACACCGGUGGCGAAGGCGGCCUGCUGGGCAGUUGCUGACACUGAGGCGCGACAGCGUGGGGAGCAAACAGG
rnacentral:rRNA from 1 species